rnacentral:tRNA from 1 species
UGGGUUGUAGCUCAGUGGUUGAGCUCUUGCUUCACAUGCAUGAGGCACUGGGUUUGAUCCUUAGCACCACAU